GUCAGAGAGCUUGCUCUCGGGUGACGAGCGGCGGACGGGUGAUUAAUGUCUGGGAAACUGCCUGAUGGAGGGGGAUAACUACUGGAAACGGUAGCUAAUACCACAUAAUGUCGCAAGAACAAAGUGACCUACCUUCCUCCCUCUUGCCAUCAGAUGUGCCCAGAUGGGAUUAGCUAGUAGGUGGGGUAACGGCUCACCUAAGCAACCAUCCCUAGCUGGUCUGAAAGGAUGACCACCCUCGCUGGAACUGACACACCGUCCUCACUCCUACGGGAGGCAUCAGUGGGUAAUAUUGCACAAUGGGCGCAUGCCUGAUGCAUCCAUGCCGCGUGUGUGAAGAAUGCCUUCUGGUUGUAAAUCAC
rnacentral:rRNA from 1 species